GACGAACGCUGGCGGCGUGCUUAACACAUGCAAGUCGAACGAAGUGGCUAACGGGUGAGUAAUACGUGGGUAACCUGCCCUCCGUUUUGGGAUAAGCCUUGGAAACGGGGUCUAAUACCGAAUAAAGGGGGAUGGGCUCGCGGCCUAUCAGCUUGUUGGUGGGGUACUGGGCUACCAAGGCGGUGACGGGUAGCCGGGCUGAGAGGGUGCACGGGCACUGUGGGACUGAGAUACGUCCUACGGUCGUAAGGGAUGGGGCAGUUGGGGCAAUUGGCGAAUGGGUGAAAGCCCGAUGCAGCGACGAUGAGGGGGGGAUUAGGGCUUUCGAGUUGUAAACCUCUUGCGCUAGCGAAUGGGUAGGUGGAGAAGAAGCGCCGGCUAACUCCGUGCCAGCAGCCGCGGUAAUAC
rnacentral:rRNA from 1 species